GGAAGGGUGCCUGAAUAAAAGGAUCACUUUGAUAGAGUGAAUUAUGAAUGUUAAAUUCUUUCCUCUUCCU
rnacentral:tRNA from 1 species